AUGAGAUUAAUGCUGAUGGAUCACUUUCUUUUCUUUGUUUUUUUUUCGAAGUUACCAACGCUAUUGAACAUCCUGAAGAGGCUGAGCAAAACCCUAGGUACCGAGGGAGCAAUAUACCGUCUCGGGUUUUCAAAAUUCUUGACGAUAGUGUACCAAAAUCUUCCGGAAAUGAAGACUAUUCUCAAAACUCGCCUGUGCGCAGUGGGACACCGCAGUACGAACAAGCGAAUGGCCACUCCCGGCAGUUUGUUCCCGCAUCACAACAAGAGCAUGUUCAAGAGCCUAGAAAAUACACCGGAGGAACCAUCCCAUCCCGUUCAUUCCGCAUGUUGCAAGCCAUGACCGUCCAUAAUCCAGAUCGACCUGGCGAGUCCGAGUACUGAGAAUCUUUCAUUCAUUUCCUCUUUUAAUUCGAGCGUGGUUCAAGACUUCGGUAAAGAUUCGAGAAAUUAAACAUUAAAAAUGAAGAGCAUUUUCAUGUUAUGUGAUUAUUAUCCAUCACAUUUUGUACUUUAUUAUUUAUUUGUAAAAUUUAUUUUUCGUUUUUUUAGAAUGUAAAUUAAACGUAAUCACAUAUUUUCGUUAAAUUUGAUGUUUAUAAUAAAUAAAUAAAUUCAACAAACAAUCUACAGGUAUUUGUUUAUUUCAUUCCCUCCCGAAGCAAUAUUCGAUUAUUGCAUAGAAAUU
rnacentral:lncRNA from 1 species